CUUUCCUCGCCGCUCAAUCUUCACUACUCAAGAAGCUAACUAAGCAAUCCACCUACCAUUUCAAUCCACCGGAGCUCACUCCACAGCACCAUUCACACUC